UUGUAAAAAUAUUUAAAAAUGAAAAACGUAUCAAAUUAAUUUUUAGGUUCAAAUUAUAUUUACUUGGUUACAAAAAUUAAAAGCCUUGUGAUCAAAUACCAGAUUGAAUCUAGAGGAAGUAGCUGUGUUGCAGACACUACUGAGAGAAAAGAGACCAAAUAUACACAAAAACUAAAUGUUCAUCUUGUAAUAAACAUGACAGCAGCUCCAAACCAAACCCAAUUCAAUCAAUCAAUUAUGUUUUUGCUUGGGUGCAGAUUGUCUCCAGAUUCCUCCCAAGACACUCCCAAAAAUAGAGUGACAAA
rnacentral:lncRNA from 1 species